CUCUAAUACAGAGAAAAUGUCAGCAGUUACAUGGUUACAUGUGGAGCAGCAGUCUGUUCCCACCUGUCACCCCACACCCUGCUGUAUCAGAAGCAGCAGUGGCCAAUGGCAGGUGGCGCCCCUGGAGCUAGUGCAUGCUGGGAACUGGCUUUUAAGCUAGCUUCCCACACAUACUGGGAGCCUCAGUAUAACUGUGACCAUUAACAGAUGAGCCCAGGCUCAUCUGUUAACCAUUUACACAGUUACACUUUCACAUCUCUAAAAACCUAUUUGCAGCAUGUACAAAGGCAAGCUCUGUGAAGUACAUGCCCAAUCACUAAAGUUGUAAUUGCACUGUAAUUAGACACCGGCAGCUGGUCCAUACCAGCUGACCUGGGCUCCCAAAGCUUCAGGAAAGGGCUGUUUAUCUGCACUUCAGACUUUCUGGCCUGAGCUGUGGGACUCUCCUGCCUCACAGGGUCUUAGUAUCUGAGCUCCAGCUCAAACCCAAAUGUCUACUCUGCAAUUAAAUAGCCCUUAGCUCAAGUCAGCUGGAUGACCUACCCACAUGUUUUUAAUUGCAGUAUAGACAUAGCCAAAAUCCAGCUCUUAGGGUACCGACUUAAUUCAUAUACACCAACAUCAAAUAAUUCUCAUCUGCUAGCUAUUAAAGUGAACUGCAUUGAGCCACUGAAGUAGCAGUGAAAUACAUACUAUCUCCCCAAGACAGCCAGUCCCAUCCCCAAAAGCCCACUGUUUUUGACUUUUGCCUCCCAUGUUAAUCCAACAGAAAUCAAGCAUGAAGAUGUCGGUAUCACUUAAUUUCUGGCAAAUUAAAGAAACAAAAGACAAUGCUGAAGAAAUGCCACAUACUCAUAGUAUUAUAUAAAUCAGAGGUGACCAACUUAUGGGCACCUACAACAAUCUUGAGACGUUCAAGAGUUGGGGCACGCCUGCCAGAGUUCAGGGCUUGAACCCUGCUCCUGUUCCAAGAUCCCCAAGAGCAACCUGCAGCAGAUAAAUACAAAUUUUAUAAGUGUACAUUUGCCAACAACCCCAACUUAUAAAAUGACUAGCGGAGCGAGAGAUGCAGGUUGAAAAUAUUUGUCAGGAAGCCAAAAAUUAAAGAAGAAAAGAAAACUUGAAGAAUGUGAUCUCAAUCUAAAAGGUACUAUGGAAAAAUUUGUUCAAAAGACAAAAAAAUGAGAUGAAGAACCACAACAGUCCCAAUCAUCGUCACUGUCAUCACAUUCAGAUCCAGUAGAAGUAGAUUCUGUGGAAUUAUCCACAUUUACUCCAACUUCAAUUGCGACAACAGAACAAAAUCUGCCAUUAACAUCAACGUUCACUUCGUCUUCAAUGGCACCAGAUCUGCCAGAUGACCCAUUAACUGCAAUAACAUCAAGGUUAUUAGACAAACUAAAGCAAAAUCAUCCACUUUUUUUAGAAGAAUCCGCAAUAGCUGAAGUCAACAUUAGUAGCAAAGAUCUUGCCGAAAUUGAUUCCAAGUAUUCAGAAGAGCUUUCAUCAGAAGAAGAAAAUGGUGAGUUAGAAUGUGCCCCGAAAAGUAGCUUAACCGACCCUGCAAAAUGGCCAACUAUUCUAACUGAUAAAGUCAGGUUGUUUAUUGCUGAGCAAGGACCCGUACAAAUAAAAAGUUUUAAAUUUCCUAGAGAUGAAAAAAACAGAUCUUUUUCAGCAAAUCAUUACUCCAGAUUAUUAAACAAUGGAGAAAUGAUGGAAAGAAGGUGGUUAGUUUAUUCUUUACUUCAAGAUACUGUGUACUGCUUUAGCUGCAAAUUGUUUGCACCAAUUCCAAUUGCCCUUGCCACUGGCGGUUUCAAUGACUGGAAACAUUUGGCUGAAAGAUUAAAAGAGCAUGAAAAUUUACAGAAUCAUCGUGAAGGAAUGAUUAAAUGGACAAAAACGUUUGAAGAAUAAAGUAACUAUCGAUAAGAUGACGCAAAGCAUGAUAGAAAAAGAGAAACAGACUUGUUGCAGUUUUCAAAUGUAUAGUUGAAAUAAUUAUAUUUAUGGCGAGUCUAAAUUUAUCAUUCAGAGGAAAAACUGAAAAACUUUUUCAAUCCCAUAAUGGAAAUUUUUUGGGAAUAAUUGAAUUAUUAGCUAAAUUCGACCCAGUGAUGGCAGAACAUGUAUACCAUUUUACAGAAAAGGAUACUCGAAACCAUUUUUUGAGUCACUUAAUUCAAAAUGAAUUAAUUAUAUCAAUAUUUGAAAAAGUUAAGAAACACACAAUUGAUGAAGUAAAACAGGCAAAAUAUUAUUCAAUAAUAUUAGAUUGUACUCCUGAUGUCAGUCACCAAGAACAAUUAUCGAUGAUACUCCAAUUUGUGAAUAUAGAAAAAUCAAGAUUUUAAAACAGAUGAAAAGUUUAUCAAUUUUUUAGUUGAUGAUACAACAGGAACAGGGUUAGCAGAAAGGUUAAAAAUGAACUCCAAGAUGUAGGAUUAGAUUUAAAGGACUGUCGAGGACAAGCUUAUGACAAUGGGGCUAAUAUGAAGGGUAAAAAUGUUGGAGUGCAGGCUUUAAUUUUACAAGAAAAUCGAAGAGCCUUUUAUGUACCCUGUGCUUGUCACAAUUUGAAUUUAGUGUUGGGAGAUAUUGCAAAAUCGUCCACGCAAGCGGUGACAUUUUUCGGGAUAAUACAAAGGGUUUACACAAUUUUUGCGGUGUCAACAGCAAGAUGGGAUGUAUUUAAAAGACAUGCUCCUCUACUUUCACCAAAACCACUUUCGGAAACUAGAUGGGAGUGCCGUAUUGAAAGCAUUAAAGCAAUUUGAUUUCAAACAACUGGAUUGGACAAUGCUUUAAGUGCACUUUUAAAUACGGUAACGAAUCACAAACUUAAAUGUGAAGUACUUGCUGUCAGAAAGCAUCUAAGAAUAUAUGAAUUUUUAACCAGCCUUGUUAUUUGGUAAGAUGUAUUACUUAAAGUAAAUACUGCCAGCAAAAUUCUGCAGAAGACAAAUAUAGAAAUGGAUAUUGCUUUAAAUCAUUUAAAGUAUCCUGUAUCAUAUUUGGAGGAAUACAGAUCUUCAGGAUUCCAAAGUGCAUUAACUACAGCCAAAGAGAUGUGUGAUGAAUUGAACAUCAAUCCAACAUUUCAGGAAAAACGUCUGACAAAUAAAACAAAUACGUUUUCAUAUGAGGGAAAUGAUGAACCUAUUGAAAGCACAGAGGAAUCAUACCGAAUAAACUACUUUUUGAUAAUUUUUUAUUCUGCUCUUGUUUC